rnacentral:rRNA from 1 species
UACGAAGGGGGCUAGCGUUGCUCGGAAUCACUGGGCGUAAAGCGCACGUAGGCGGACUCUUAAGUCGGUGGUGAAAUCCUGGAGCUCAACUCCAGAACUGCCUUCGAUACUGGGAGUCUCGAGUCCGGGAGAGGUGAGUGGAACUGCGAGUGUAGAGGUGAAAUUCGUAGAUAUUCGCAAGAACACCAGUGGCGAAGGCGGCUCACUGGCCCGGUACUGACGCUGAGGUGCGAAAGCUAGGGGAGCAAACAGG